rnacentral:misc_RNA from 1 species
GAAUGAAGAACGCAGCGAACUGCGAUAAGUAAUGUGAAUUGCAGAAUUCAGUGAAUCAUCGAGUCUUUGAACGCACAUUGCGCCCCCUGGCAUUCCGGGGGGCAUGCCUGUCCGAGCGUCAUUGCUGCCCUUCAAGCCCGGCUUGUGUGUUGGGUCGUCGUCCCCCCCGGGGGACGGGCCCGAAAGGCAGCGGCGGCACCGCGUCCGGUCCUCGAGCGUAUGGGGCUUUGUCACCCGCUCGAUUAGGGCCGGCCGGGCGCCAGCCGGCGUCUCCAACCUUCUAUUUUACCAGGUUGACCUCGGAUCAGGUAGGGAUACCCGCUGAACUUAAGCAUAUCAAUAAGCGGAGGA